UCGAGGACAGCAAGGCCAGAUCAUCCCACCUCCCUGGCCACCUUACCCCCUCCUUCCUCGGCUCCCAGCCUCCUCACGGCCCACGAUGCUCCAGGACCCCAGCAACCUGGGAGUUGAGGCUGGCUCUCCACCUGCGCAAGUGUGGGCAACAGUUUUCUUAAGGUGUGCCUGACUUGGCAAUGGCUUCAGACCAGCAGCUGUAGGAAGGCCCUCUCCAUCCUGAGAGGCACCUCUCUAAACAUAAGAACACAAGAAAACCUGAUCAGAAAUGCCUUUCAGACUCAAGGAAAGGUGCCAAAAAGACCAGAGAAGCUUCAGGAGUCCUUGACAACUGCCCUAUUCCUGGAAGCCCACCGAAAUUACUCAACUAAGCAGAUGUCUGGGACCAAAGAAAAUCACAAAUGUUCCUGGAAAAUUGCAGAGUUAAGCAAACCUCUGUUAAGUCAUGUUUGAAUGAUUACCAAGGUUCUACGAAAGUCCUGUGACCACUUCCUAAUUGCAAGAAGAAAACAACCAAAAGGUUGCCAGCUAGCAGUAUGAAUUGGUCCUGUAAUUUGUGUUAGAAAUAGAACUUUGUGGACUAUCUCCUUACUAGCUUCAAGCAGUAAAAACCAUUUGCUCAAACCAAAAGACUUGGCUGAUCUUUUGGCUGAUGCACCUCCAGCAAGGAGCCCUUUGUGUUCAGUAAAAAACUUGGUGACCUAUAUGGGUCAGUUACCCUACCUAGUAAGACCCCUGCUCUUCCACCUAAGAGAAGGUGACCUUGGAACAAUCUUUUGCUAAUAACCUUCUUGCCAGUCCCCCUUCUUAUAAAAACCUUCCAUUUUGUACAACUUCGAGGCUUGCUAGGUGGGAUGCUGCCUGAUUCACCAAUCAUUUAAUAAAGCCAAGUGGAUGUUCAAAUUUACCCGGCUGAAUUCUAGUUUGUAACACUACUUAAGAUAAACUCCCUGUACACCUGGCCCAGCAUUAACACAGGACAGGGAAUUAUGUCUCUCUUAAUUUUUUAAAAAUCUCAUGUUGAAUCUCUCAAAUCAGCAGCAACAACAUAGAGUUCUAAAAUUCUUAUCAUUUAUUACGAAUAGUUGAAAGUUAAAAAAAAAAAAUGUCCUUGCUUUCAACAUUUUCUUUCGGUAACAGCUAAUAGCUUCGUACUCGCCGUCUCCCAUGGCUUCCUCUCUGGGGUUCUCGCCCCUUCUCUGGCGGUCUCAGGCUCCCCAGCUCUCCAACUCCCACAACAGUCCCAGGAAAAGUUUCACCUAGCUUUGGGGAGCUCCUCCUAUGAGGGGGCUCCACCCACAGUACGUAAGAAACUGUAUAAACGGACGUGGCCAUCUUAACCUCAGCGCUUGCGCUGCUGGAGACAAAGGAAGCUCAGCUUGGAGGUUAGGGCACCUACGUAUUGGUCACAGGAGGUUUGGGCUUCUGAGGAGCUAAAAGUAGCGGGGAAGUCAAUGUUUAAGGACCCAGGAGCGCGUGCUCCUC
rnacentral:lncRNA from 1 species